GAUGAACGCUAGCUACAGGCUUAACACAUGCAAGUCGCGGGGCAGCAUGGGGGUUGCUUGCAAUCCCCGAUGGCGACCGGCGCACGGGUGAGUAACGCGUAUCCAACCUGCCCUUCACCACGGGAUAACCCGGCGAAAGUCGGACUAAUACCGUAUGUUGUCCAUUGACGGCACCCGAUUUGGACGAAAGGUUUGGCGGUGAAGGAUGGGGAUGCGUCCGAUUAGCUGGACGGCGGGGUGACGGCCCACCGUGGCGACGAUCGGUAGGGGUUCUGAGAGGAAGGUCCCCCACACUGGAACUGAGACACGGUCCAGACUCCUACGGGAGGCAGCAGUGAGGAAUAGUGGGCAAUGGGCGUAAGCCUGAACCAGCCAAGUAGCGUGCAGGAUGACGGCCCUAUGGGUUGUAAACUGCUUUUAUGCGGGGAUAAAGUGGCCCACGUGUGGGUUUUUGCAGGUACCGCAUGAAUAAGGACCGGCUAAUUCCGUG
rnacentral:rRNA from 1 species